rnacentral:misc_RNA from 1 species
GAUGAAGAACGUAGUGAAAUGCGAUAAGUAAUGUGAAUUGCAGAAUUCAGUGAAUCAUCGAAUCUUUGAACGCACAUUGCGCCCGCCAGUAUUCUGGCGGGCAUGCCUGUUCGAGCGUCAUUACAACCCUCAGGCCCCCGGGCCUGGCGUUGGGGAUCGGCGGAGCCCCCCGUGGGCACACGCCGUCCCCCAAAUACAGUGGCGGUCCCGCCGCAGCUUCCAUCGCGUAGUAGCUAACACCUCGCGACUGGAGAGCGGCGCGGCCACGCCGUAAAACACCCAACUCUUCUGAAGUUGACCUCGAAUCAGGUAGGAAUACCCGCUGAACUUAAGCAAUCAAUAAGCGGAGGA